rnacentral:rRNA from 1 species
UGCCAGCAGCCGCGGUAAGACAGAGGGUGCAAACGUUGUUCGGAAUUACUGGGCGUAAAGCGCGUGUAGGCUGUUACGCAAGUCGGAUGUGAAAGCCCAGGGCUCAACCCUGGAAGUGCAUUCGAAACUGCGUGACUGGAAUCUCGGAGAGGGUAGCGGAAUUCUGGGUGGAGCGGUGAAAUGCGUAGAUAUCUAUCGGAAUGCCGAAGGAGAAAUCAGGCAGCUGGGCCUGUGCUGACGCUGAGGUACGAAAGCGUGGGGAGCGAACGGGAUUAGAUA